rnacentral:tRNA from 2 species
GCAUCCGUAGUAUAAUGGAUAGAACGGAGGCCUCCGACGCCUUUGAUGCAGGUUCGAUUCCUGUCGGAUGCA